AACGGGUGAGUAACACGUGAGUAACCUGCCCUUAACUCUGGGAUAAGCCUUGGAAACGGGGUCUAAUACUGGAUAUUGACUUUACCUCGCAUGGGGUUUUGUUGAAAGAUUUAUUGGUUUUGGAUGGACUCGCGGCCUAUCAGCUUGUUGGUGAGGUAAUGGCUCACCAAGGCGACGACGGGUAGCCGGCCUGAGAGGGUGACCGGCCACACUGGGACUGAGACACGGCCCAGACUCCUACGGGAGGCAGCAGUGGGGAAUAUUGCACAAUGGGCGAAAGCCUGAUGCAGCGACGCCGCGUGAGGGAUGACGGCCUUCGGGUUGUAAACCUCUUUCAGUAGGGAACAAGGCCAGCAUUUUUGUUGGUUGAGGGUACUUGCAGAAGAAGCGCCGGCUAACUACGUGCCAGCAGCCGCGGUAAUACGUAGGGCGCAAGCGUUAUCCGGAAUUAUUGGGCGUAAAGAGCUCGUAGGCGGUUUGUCGCGUCUGCCGUGAAAGUCCGGGGCUCAACUCCGGAUCUGCGGUGGGUACGGGCAGACUAGAGUGAUGUAGGGGAGACUGGAAUUCCUGGUGUAGCGGUGAAAUGCGCAGAUAUCAGGAGGAACACCGAUGGCGAAGGCAGGUCUCUGGGCAUUAACUGACGCUGAGGAGCGAAAGCAUGGGGAGGCGAACAGGAUUAGAUACCCUGGUAGUCCAUGCCGUAAACGUUGGGCACUAGGUGUGGGGGACAUUCCACGUUUUCCGCGCCGUAGCUAACGCAUUAAGUGCCCCGCCUGGGGAGUACGGCCGCAAGGCUAAAACUCAAAGGAAUUGACGGGGGCCCGCACAAGCGGCGGAGCAUGCGGAUUAAUUCGAUGCAACGCGAAGAACCUUACCAAGGCUUGACAUGAACUGGAAAUACCUGGAAACAGGUGCCCCGCUUGCGGUCGGUUUACAGGUGGUGCAUGGUUGUCGUCAGCUCGUGUCGUGAGAUGUUGGGUUAAGUCCCGCAACGAGCGCAACCCUCGUUCUAUGUUGCCAGCACGUAAUGGUGGGGACUCAUAGGAGACUGCCGGGGUCAACUCGGAGGAAGGUGAGGACGACGUCAAAUCAUCAUGCCCCUUAUGUCUUGGGCUUCACGCAUGCUACAAUGGCCGGUACAAUGGGUUGCGAUACUGUGAGGUGGAGCUAAUCCCAAAAAGCCGGUCUCAGUUCGGAUUGGGGUCUGCAACUCGACCCCAUGAAGUCGGAGUCGCUAGUAAUCGCAGAUCAGCAACGCUGCGGUGAAUACGUUCCCGGGCCUUGUACACACCGCCCGUCAAGUCACGAAAGUUGGUAACACC
rnacentral:rRNA from 1 species